rnacentral:rRNA from 1 species
UACGUAGGCAGCAAGCGUUGUUCGGAGUUACUGGGCGUAAAGGGUGCGUAGGCGGGUUUUUAAGUCAGGGGUGAAAUCCCGAGGCUCAACCUCGGAACUGCCUUUGAUACUGGAAAUCUUGAGUCCGGAAGAGGCGAGUGGAACUCCUGGUGUAGCGGUGGAAUGCGCAGAUAUCAGGAAGAACACCAACGGCGAAGGCAGCUCGCUGGGACGGUACUGACGCUGAGACGCGAAAGCGUGGGGAGCGAACAGG